rnacentral:rRNA from 1 species
CCUACGGGAGGCAGCAGUGGGGAAUUUUGGACAAUGGGCGCAAGCCUGAUCCAGCAAUGCCGCGUGAGUGAAGAAGGCCUUCGGGUUGUAAAGCUCUUUUGUCAGGGAAGAGACGGUGGGGGCUAAUAUCCCCUGCUAAUGACGGUACCUGAAGAAUAAGCACCGGCUAACUACGUGCCAGCAGCCGCGGUAAUACGUAGGGUGCAAGCGUUAAUCGGAAUUACUGGGCGUAAAGCGUGCGCAGGCGGUUUUGUAAGUUUGUCGUGAAAUCCCCGGGCUCAACCUGGGAAUGGCGAUGAAGACUGCAAGGCUAGAAUCUGGCAGAGGGGGGUAGAAUUCCACGUGUAGCAGUGAAAUGCGUAGAGAUGUGGAGGAACACCGAUGGCGAAGGCAGCCCCCUGGGUCAAGAUUGACGCUCAUGCACGAAAGCGUGGGGAGCAAACAGGAUUAGAUACCCUGGUAGUCCACGCCCUAAACGAUGUCUACUAGUUGUCGGGUUUUAAUUAACGUUGGUAACGCAGCUAACGCGUGAAGUAGACCGCCGUGGGGAGUACGGUCGCAAGAUUAAAACGUCGAAAGGAUUGAGCGUGAGACGUGCGACGGACGACGACGAGGGAGGAGG